rnacentral:rRNA from 1 species
GGUCAAAUCAUCAUGCUCCUUAUGUCUUGGGCUACACACGUACUACAAUGGCGAUUAACAGAGGGCAGCGAACCCGCGAGGGGGAGCAAAUCCCCAAAAAUCGCCUCAGUUCGGAUUGCAGGCUGCAACUCGCCUGCAUGAAGCUGGAAUUGCUAGUAAUCGCAGAUCAGCAUGCUGCGGUGAAUACGUUCCCGGGCUUU